GAUGAACGCUGACAGAAUGCUUAACACAUGCAAGUCGAUGGGGAAGUGGUGCUUGCACCAUGGCAACCAUGGCGGACGGGUGAGUAACGCGUAAGGGACUUACCUGCAGGACUGGGAUAACAGGGGGAAACUCCUGACAAGACCGGAUAAUGUCAUGGAGCUGCAUGGCUUUAUGAUGAAAGGAGACGCCUGCGGAGAGCCUUGCGUCCUAUUAGCUAGUUGGUGAGGUAAUGGCUCACCAAGGCGAAGAUAGGUAGCCGGCCUGAGAGGGUGGACGGCCACAAGGGGACUGAGAUACGGCCCUUACUCCUACGGGAGGCAGCAGUGGGGAAUAUUGGACAAUGGGGGCAACCCUGAUCCAGCAAUUCUGUGUGCACGAAGAAGGUUUUCGGAUUGUAAAGUGCUUUCAGCAGGGAAGAAGGAAGUGACGGUACCUGCAGAAGAAGCGACGGCUAAAUACGUGCCAGCAGCCGCGGUAAUACGUAUGUCGCGAGCGUUAUCCGGAAUUAUUGGGCAUAAAGGGCAUCUAGGCGGCCUGACAAGUCAGGGGUGAAAACCUGCGGCUCAACCGCAGGCCUGCCUUUGAAACUGUGAGGCUGGAGUACCGGAGAGGUGGACGGAACUGCACGAGUAGAGGUGAAAUUCGUAGAUAUGUGCAGGAAUGCCGAUGAUGAAGAUAGUUCACUGGACGGUAACUGACGCUGAAGUGCGAAAGCCGGGGGAGCGAACAGGAUUAGAUACCCUGGUAGUCCCGGCUGUAAACGAUGAUUACUGGGUGUGGGCAGGAAGACUGUCUGCGCCGAAGCAAAUGCGAUAAGUAAUCCGCCUGGGGAGUACGGCCGCAAGGCUGAAACUCAAAGGAAUCGACGGGGACCCGCACAAGCGGUGGAGCAUGUGGUGUAAUUCGACGCAACGCGAGGAACCUUACCAGAUCUUGACAUCCCGCGAAUGCCCGUGAAGACGGGCAGUGCCUUCGGGAACGCGGAGACAGGUGGUGCAUGGCUGUCGACAGCUCGUGUCGUGAGAUGUUGGGGUUAGUUCCGCAACGAGCGCACCCCUGCUGCUAGCUACCAUCAUUAAGUGGGGACUCUAGCAAGACUGGCUGCGAUGAGCAGGAGGAAGGGUGGGGAUGACGUUCAGGUCAUCAUGCCCCG
rnacentral:rRNA from 1 species